UACUAUUUAGUUUAUAAAGAAUAGUUAAUUUGCAGUUAAAAGGAGUAUAUUCAAUAGUAU
rnacentral:tRNA from 2 species